ACGCGUUAAGUAGACCGCCUGGGGAGUACGGUCGCAAGAUUAAAACUCAAAUGAAUUGACGGGGGCCCGCACAAGCGGUGGAGCAUGUGGUUUAAUUCGAUGCAACGCGAAGAACCUUACCUACUCUUGACAUCCAGAGAAGCUUGAAGAGAUUCGAGUGUGCCUUCGGGAACUCUGAGACAGGUGCUGCAUGGCUGUCGUCAGCUCGUGUUGUGAAAUGUUGG
rnacentral:rRNA from 1 species